AUGGAAGGACUUUGACUCAGCCACCCCAACCAAUGCCUUUCACUUUCGUUAUUACUGCGAGGCUGCCAAGGCUAAUUGACUUCCCCAGCUUUCCUUGCUGAUGAGUGACCAUGUGACAAUAUGCCAACCAAUGAGAUCUCGCAGGAUGAGCCUCUUGAUAUUCUCUAUCAGACAUGAUGACCGUGAAAAGCAGCAAGGC